AACAGGAUUAGAUACCCUGGUAGUCCACGCUGUAAACGAUGUCGACUUGGAGGUUGUGCCCUUGAGGCGUGGCUUCCGGAGCUAACGCGUUAAGUCGACCGCCUGGGGAGUACGGCCGCAAGGUUAAAACUCAAAUGAAUUGACGGGGGCCCGCACAAGCGGUGGAGCAUGUGGUUUAAUUCGAUGCAACGCGAAGAACCUUACCUACUCUUGACAUCCAGAGAAUUUGCUAGAGAUAGCUUAGUGCCCUCGGGAACUCUGAGACAGGUGCUGCAUGGCUGUCGUCAGCUCGUGUUGUGAAAUGUUGGGUUAAGUCCCGCAACGAGCGCAACCCUUAUCCUUUGUUGCCAGCACGUAAUGGUGGGAACUCAAAGGAGACUGCCGGUGAUAAACCGGAGGAAGGUGGGGAUGACGUCAAGUCAUCAUGGCCCUUACGAGUAGGGCUACACACGUGCUACAAUGGCAUAUACAAAGAGAAGCGAACUCGCGAGAGCAAGCGGACCUCAUAAAGUAUGUCGUAGUCCGGAUUGGAGUCUGCAACUCGACUCCAUGAAGUCGGAAUCGCUAGUAAUCGUAGAUCAGAAUGCUACGGUGAAUACGUUCCCGGGCCUUGUACACACCGCCCGUCACACCAUGGGAGUGGGUUGCAAAAGAAGUAGGUAGCUUAACCUUCGGGAGGGCGCUUACCACUUUGUGAUUCAUGACUGGGGUGAAGUCGUAACAAGGUAACC
rnacentral:rRNA from 1 species